CAAAUAAAUAAUGUCCUCUCUUUAAAAAUAUAGAAAUACAGUCCACAAAGUACUGGCUUAUUUUAUUAAGCAUCACAAUAAGAGAAAAUAAAGGAGGUAUCUAUUGCCCCCAGCAAGUUUACAAAGUAUGUGGCUUACAGACGGUAAUUACCGGGUAUUACGUUGAGGGAUUUGAUAAUCGACAACUACUGUGCCUUUUCAAACUAUAUCCCCACGUUACAUCUCAGAUGAAAUAUUUUUUUGGUAAAAUGUUUAUAUGGGCUACUUAAUGGCUUGAUGAACAAGAAUAUCGCCAGUAUAUCUUUUUUGGAUACAAUACAAGAUAUCCUUAAAUCUCCUUUUUACCAAGGCCUCGCUUCAAUAUAUUGUGAUCGGUUUUAUAUGCGGACUGGAAUCAGUAUGUAACAUAAUAUACAAGAAUUGGUCAGACGUAUUCAGAGAGAAUAUACUUCAAGCUUAUUAUUGUAAACAACACCGACUUGAAUAUACAUCAAGCAAGCAAGAUAUUUGUUGUUAAUGAAAUGUUAACUACAUAACAAUAAAUACCUACUUUGAUAUGGUUGAAUAGAAUUGCAAAUAGGAUCAAAUAAGAACUUAUACCGAAGCUAAGGCAGAGGAUCAGACAAUAGAGUAGCCUGCGAGAUCACCAGAUUUGACACCGCUUCUAGAUGAAUGCAGGUGAAUUGGCAAUAGGGGUCCUAUUAAGUGGCCAUCCCGCUUUCCAUCUAUGAAGCCAAUGGAUGUUUUUGUCUGGGAUUAUUAUAAGGAUAUUGUUUAUCAACGACCAUCCAAUAAUCCUGAAGAGGUUAAGAAUCGAAUUUGUGAAGCCCGUCGAACAAUUACUGCAGCUUGCACAAGGGAAAUCUUUCGGCGAUAUGAAGCUUGUGUGGAAGCUAAUAAAGCUCAAUUUAAACAUUUAAUUAAAUAAUAGAUUUAAAUUUUGUAAAAUACAUUAAUAUGAUGUUAAAAUAUCUUAUAAAAAAUAAAUUGAAUUUAAAGAGAAA